rnacentral:rRNA from 1 species
UACAGAGGUCUCAAGCGUUGUUCGGAUUCAUUGGGCGUAAAGGGUGUGUAGGUGGCGCGCUAAGUCGGGUGUGAAAUUUCGGAGCUUAACUCCGAAACUGCAUUCGAUACUGGCGUGCUUGAGGACUGGAGAGGAGACUGGAAUUUACGGUGUAGCGGUGAAAUGCGUAGAUAUCGGGAGGAACACCAGUAGCGAAGGCGGCACUCUGGGCCGGUACUGACGCUGAGGAGCGAAAGCGUGGGGAGCAAACAGG